UGAUUCUCUGCUACAGGUUUCAAUGGCUUCAUUUCUGGACCUCUAGACCCUGGCUUGAAGUAACUGCCUUGUCCUUGUCCAUGUAGCUCCUACACUCCUUCUUUUUUGGAUGGGAAGGAUGCCAGGGAGGAAAGGGGGUAGCUAAAGGGACUUAGUGGAUUUCACAGGAUAAUCAUUGAAUUCCAGAGCUAGAAGAGUCCAGGGAAUCCUUUGUUCUGCCAUGAACUCAUUAUAUGACCUUGGACAAGCUAAUUCCCAUUUCUGCGACUGUAAAGUGGGAGAUCUUUGAUCCCCCAACCCAUCUGUGACCUUCUAUAUUCUCUGUCCUCUCAGUUUUAAGACAGCAAAGCAAAUGGAACAUUGAGCAGGAACCCAAGACAGAAUAUGAACCCAGGACAGAACCAGAAUUAGCUGAGUGCCUAUAACUGUAUGGAGAAAAGCAAGAGAUAAAUUGAGUUCAUCUGUCACAAAGCUGGCGGUUGGCAGAAACAGACGAGAGGAAAAUAGUCGUGCACCUGAGGAGUCAACUCUAGCAGAGUGGAAGGAAAGGCACUCGUGGUGGGGAGACAUGGGAAGACAGGGAGAAAGGCUUAGGGCCAAUCAAGUGACCCCAAAUCCUAUCUCCAUAACCACUAGGUGCUUUAUUUAAGACUCAGAAGAUGCAGCUGGAAAGAACUCUAAGCCACAACCUAGAAAGAUGUUUCCCUUUGCAUAUGGGAGUCAAUCAACAACCACUGAUUAAGCAAUUACUAUGAGCUGAUAACUAUGCUGAGUUCUCAGAAUUUUUUUUAAAUGAUCCCUGCCCUCAAGGAAAUUACAUUCAUAAAUCAGCACAUACAAGGCAUUCAUCCUUCAUUUUUCAUAAAGGACCAACAAGAA
rnacentral:lncRNA from 1 species